AAUAGAGUUUUAUAGGGUUUUGCAAUUAUUAAUGAUUGGCCUGGUCCGAGAUAAAACCCACAACAUAGUUUUUGUUGUGAACACGGAAGGACAAAAACCUGGGAGAU
rnacentral:sRNA from 17 species